CGUAGAAGAAAGCUAAAUAUCAGAGGAGAGAGAGACGUUGCAAUCAUUCCACCAUGGCAUCAUCAUCCAUUCUCAUCCCUCCGAUUCUCUCCGCUUCCAUCAGCCGUCGCAACCUCCUCCUCUCCACCACAAUCGCUACCGUAUCCCCGUCCCCUCAGAUUCCUUCCCCAGACGUAACAAUCACCGAUCGCGUCUUCCUCGAUUUCUCCCUCUGUCCCACUUACUUCCGCUCCGAUCCCUCCGCCACACUCUCCUCCACCACGCCUUGCUCCGACUCCACUCCUCUUGGCCGCGUCGUUCUCGGACUAUACGGCCGUCAUGUUCCUCUCACUGUCUCCACUUUCAAACUCAUGUGCACUUCCUCCUCUACAUCUUACAAAAACACUCCCAUCCACAAAAUCUUCCCCGGUCAGUUUUUCCUCGCCGGAAGACAAGGAUUACGUCGAGACACGGCGGAGGUUGGUCCUCUUAAUUUGCCUCGAAACACCGACGUCGUCAAUUCCAAGUCGUUCCUCCUCCCUCACGCUCGUCCUGGACUCGUCUCUCUUUGCUUGUCUGAAAACGACGACGACGAUGAAACCAGACUCGAUCCGGAGUACAGAAAUGUCGAGUUCUUGAUCACUACAGGACCUGGUCCUUGUCCGCAGCUCGACGGUGGCAACAUUGUCUUCGGAACUGUCCUUGAAGGUAAUUUAAAACCAACUUUCUUUGUUGACAUUUUUCUUAAUGUUGAGUUUAAUUUCAAGAAAUCAAAAUCUCUGUACAGGGUUAGAUGUGGUGACUGUAAUCAUGGCUUGUUUAAACGGCGUCGUAGAAGAAAGCUAAAUAUCAGAGGAGAGAGAGACGUUGCAAUCAUUCCACCAUGGCAUCAUCAUCCAUUCUCAUCCCUCCGAUUCUCUCCGCUUCCAUCAGCCGUCGCAACCUCCUCCUCUCCACCACAAUCGCUACCGUAUCCCCGUCCCCUCAGAUUCCUUCCCCAGACGUAACAAUCACCGAUCGCGUCUUCCUCGAUUUCUCCCUCUGUCCCACUUACUUCCGCUCCGAUCCCUCCGCCACACUCUCCUCCACCACGCCUUGCUCCGACUCCACUCCUCUUGGCCGCGUCGUUCUCGGACUAUACGGCCGUCAUGUUCCUCUCACUGUCUCCACUUUCAAACUCAUGUGCACUUCCUCCUCUACAUCUUACAAAAACACUCCCAUCCACAAA
rnacentral:lncRNA from 1 species